CUUGACUUAACCAUAAGAGGUCCAGCCUGCCCAGUGACAUUGUUCAACGGCCGCGGUAUCCUAACCGUGCGAAGGUAGCGUAAUCACUUGUCCUUUAAAUGAGGACUAGUAUGAACGGCCACACGAAAGCUAUGCUGUCUCCUUUUUCUAAUCAGUUAAACUAAUCUCCCCGUGAAGAAGCGGGGAUGAUCAUAUAAGACGAGAAGACCCUAUGGAGCUUUAAACAAUUGAAACACUUGUACCCAUCUUCCACACUUCCGACAGUCUACGCUUAAUUUUACACUUUGUUUCUAGCUUUAGGUUGGGGUGACCACGGAGAAAAAACAAACCUCCACGCUGAAAGAGUUAACCUCUAAACAAAAAGAUACAUCUUUAAGUAUUAAUACAUUAACCUGAAUUGACCCAAUAAAUUGAUCAACGAAC
rnacentral:rRNA from 1 species